ACCUGGUCAGUCGGUGAUUAAUGUUCGCCAAACGUUGGUUCACCUACGAAUUUCCAAUAUUUGCGAUUUUUUUUUCUUGAAUCUUUCGAAUCUUCGCAUUAUGAGGACCCUCGUAAUUGUCUCCAUUGCCAUCUUCUGCCUAGCCUUUCUCAUUGUUCAGACCGAAGCAGUUCCCCAAUUGCAAAAUGUGGAUUUGAUGAACAAAUUCGGUGGCCAGGACUCGCUGCAUCGCACCAUGACGUCUCUAAUGAGUUUGUACACGAAGCUGACUCAAGAGUUUGAGACACUGAUCAGACAAGGGAAAAGCGUCAACCAAGCCAUUCCAGAGCUAAUAAAACUGCUACCAAGUAUGAUGUCGUAAAUUUCAAGUCGGCCGGCUCGUAUCGUGUCAACCUUGGCCUCUACGUAGAUUCGAUGCAAUAAAAAGUAGAAACACGGAGAAA